GACGAACGCUGUCGGCGUGCUUAACACAUGCAAGUCGAACGGAAAGGCCCUGCUUUUGUGGGGUGCUCGAGUGGCGAACGGGUGAGUAACACGUGAGUAACCUGCCCUUGACUUUGGGAUAACUUCAGGAAACUGGGGCUAAUACCGGAUAGGAGCUCCUGCUGCAUGGUGGGGGUUGGAAAGUUUCGGCGGUUGGGGAUGGACUCGCGGCUUAUCAGCUUGUUGGUGGGGUAGUGGCUUACCAAGGCUUUGACGGGUAGCCGGCCUGAGAGGGUGACCGGCCACAUUGGGACUGAGAUACGGCCCAGACUCCUACGGGAGGCAGCAGUGGGGAAUAUUGCACAAUGGGCGGAAGCCUGAUGCAGCAACGCCGCGUGCGGGAUGACGGCCUUCGGGUUGUAAACCGCUUUCGCCCGUGACGAAGCGUGAGUGACGGUAAUGGGUAAAGAAGCACCGGCUAACUACGUGCCAGCAGCCGCGGUGAUACGUAGGGUGCGAGCGUUGUCCGGAUUUAUUGGGCGUAAAGGGCUCGUAGGUGGUUGAUCGCGUCGGAAGUGUAAUCUUGGGGCUUAACCCUGAGCGUGCUUUCGAUACGGGUUGACUUGAGGAAGGUAGGGGAGAAUGGAAUUCCUGGUGGAGCGGUGGAAUGCGCAGAUAUCAGGAGGAACACCAGUGGCGAAGGCGGUUCUCUGGGCCUUUCCUGACGCUGAGGAGCGAAAGCGUGGGGAGCGAACAGGCUUAGAUACCCUGGUAGUCCACGCUGUAAACGGUGGGUACUAGGUGUGGGGUCCAUUCCACGGGUUCCGUGCCGUAGCUAACGCUUUAAGUACCCCGCCUGGGGAGUACGGCCGCAAGGCUAAAACUCAAAGGAAUUGACGGGGCCCCGCACAAGCGGCGGAGCAUGCGGAUUAAUUCGAUGCAACGCGUAGAACCUUACCUGGGUUUGACAUGGAUCGGGAGUGCUCAGAGAUGGGUGUGCCUCUUUUGGGGUCGGUUCACAGGUGGUGCAUGCCUGUCGUCAGCUCGUGUCGUGAGAUGUUGGGUUAAGUCCCGCAACGAGCGCAACCCUUGUUCACUGUUGCCAGCACGUUAUGGUGGGGACUCAGUGGAGACCGCCGGGGUCAACUCGGAGGAAGGUGGGGAUGACGUCAAGUCCUCAUGCCCCUUAUGUCCAGGGCUUCACGCAUGCUACAAUGGCUGGUACAGAGAGUGGCGAGCCUGUGAGGGUGAGCGAAUCUCGGAAAGCCGGUCUCAGUUCGGAUUGGGGUCUGCAACUCGACCUCAUGAAGUCGGAGUCGCUAGUAAUCGCAGACCAGCAACGCUGCGGUGAAUACGUUCCCGGGGCU
rnacentral:rRNA from 1 species